AAUGAAAAUAUAUACUACUUUGAUAAAGUAGAAUCGAUAAUUUAUUUUAUCUUUCAUUA
rnacentral:tRNA from 2 species